GGAUCCAGACUUUGAUUAUGGCUCAGGAUGAACGCUAGCUACAGGCUUAACACAUGCAAGUCGAGGGGAAACGACAUCGAAAGCUUGCUUUUGAUGGGCGUCGACCGGCGCACGGGUGAGUAACGCGUAUCCAACCUGCCCACCACUUGGGGAUAACCUUGCGAAAGUAAGACUAAUACCCAAUGACGUCUCUAGAAGACAUCUGAAAGAGAUUAAAGAUUUAUCGGUGAUGGAUGGGGAUGCGUCUGAUUAGCUUGUUGGCGGGGUAACGGCCCACCAAGGCUACGAUCAGUAGGGGUUCUGAGAGGAAGGUCCCCCACAUUGGAACUGAGACACGGUCCAAACUCCUACGGGAGGCAGCAGUGAGGAAUAUUGGUCAAUGGACGAGAGUCUGAACCAGCCAAGUAGCGUGCAGGAUGACGGCCCUAUGGGUUGUAAACUGCUUUUAUAAGGGAAUAAAGUGAGUCUCGUGAGACUUUUUGCAUGUACCUUAUGAAUAAGGACCGGCUAAUUCCGUGCCAGCAGCCGCGGUAAUACGGAAGGUCCGGGCGUUAUCCGGAUUUAUUGGGUUUAAAGGGAGCGUAGGCCGGAGAUUAAGCGUGUUGUGAAAUGUAGAUGCUCAACAUCUGCACUGCAGCGCGAACUGGUCUCCUUGAGUACGCACAAAGUGGGCGGAAUUCGUGGUGUAGCGGUGAAAUGCUUAGAUAUCACGAAGAACUCCGAUUGCGAAGGCAGCUCACUGGAGCGCAACUGACGCUGAAGCUCGAAAGUGCGGGUAUCGAACAGGAUUAGAUACCCUGGUAGUCCGCACGGUAAACGAUGGAUGCCCGCUGUUGGUCUGAAUAGGUCAGCGGCCAAGCGAAAGCAUUAAGCAUCCCACCUGGGGAGUACGCCGGCAACGGUGCAACUCAAAGGAAUUGACGG
rnacentral:rRNA from 2 species